UUUUUGUUAUCAUGAUCGUUUUGCUUAUUGCUGAAUUAAACUAAAAAGAUGUAGAUGGCCGUGCGACAAUUUCAAUAUUCUGGUCAGACACCUUCCGAAAAUAUGUUCUAGAUCCCCUACUUGUAAAGAAAAAAUAUGCAUGAAAAAGUACAUCAAAAAUGAAUGCAAAAUUAAUGGAAUAACAAUAUUUAUAUUUA